UACAGAGGAUGCAAGCGUUAUCCGGAAUGAUUGGGCGUAAAGCGUCUGUAGGUGGCUUUUAAGUCCGCCGUCAAAUCCCAGGGCUCAACUCUGGACAGGCGGUGGAAACUACCAAGCUGGAGUACGGUAGGGGCAGGCGGAAUUCCGGGUGUAGCGGUGGAAUGCGUAGAGAUCCGGAAGAACACCGGUGGCGAAGGCGGCCUGCUGGGCAGUUGCUGACACUGAGGCGCGACAGCGUGGGGAGCAA
rnacentral:rRNA from 1 species